rnacentral:misc_RNA from 1 species
UUUCCGUAGGUGAACCUGCGGGAGGAUCAUUAGUGAAUUUGGGCAGCGAUGCCCUUCACCUUUUUCAAACCCCUGUGCACAGUUAAUAAUCAUUUCACGCUGUUAGAGGUAUAUGGAAUGUCAUUGCAUAUGAUCAUAAGAACAAAACUUUCAGCAACGGAUCUCUAGGCUCUCGCAUCGAUGAAGUACGCAGC